GAUGAAGAACGUAGCUAAAUGCGAUAAGUAAUGUGAAUUGCAGAAUUCAGUGAAUCAUCGAAUCUUUGAACGCACAUUGCGCCCCCUGGUAUUCCGGGGGGCAUGCCUGUUCGAGCGUCAUUACAACCCUCAAGCUCUGCUUGGUAUUGGGCCCCGCCAGUUCUGGCGGGCCCUAAAGUCAGUGGCGGUGCCUUCCGGCUCCGAGCGUAGUAAUUCUUCUCGCUCUGGAGACCCGGUUGUGUGCUUGCCAACAACCCCCAAUUUUUUAAGGUUGACCUCGGAUCAGGUAGGGAUACCCGCUGAACUUAAGCAUAUCAAUAAGCGGAGGA
rnacentral:misc_RNA from 1 species